rnacentral:rRNA from 1 species
CCUACGGGUGGCAGCAGUGGGGAAUAUUGCACAAUGGGGGGAACCCUGAUGCAGCGACGCCGCGUGAGUGAAGAAGUAUUUCGGUAUGUAAAGCUCUUUUCUUAGGAACGAAUAAAUGACGGUACCAAAGGAAUAAGCCCCGGCUAACUACGUGCCAGCAGCCGCGGUAAUACGUAGGGGGCAAGCGUUGUUCGGAAUGACUGGGCGGAAAGGGUGUGUAGGUGGUUUGAUAAGUUAGAUGUGGAAUACCCAGGGCUUAACUCGGGUGCUGCAUCUAAAACUGUUAGACUUGAGUACUGGAGAGGAUAGUGGAAUUCCUAGUGUAGCGGUGGAAUGCGUAGAUAUUAGGAGGAACAUCAGUGGCGAAGGCGACUAUCUGGACAGCAACUGACACUGAGGCACGAAAGCGUGGGGAGCAAACAGGAUUAGAUACCCCAGUAGUC